rnacentral:rRNA from 1 species
UACCUACGGGAGGCAGCAGUGGGGAAUAUUGCGCAAUGGGCGAAAGCCUGACGCAGCGACGCCUCGUGAGGGAUGAAGGUCUUCGGAUCGUAAACCUCUGUCAAGAGGGAAGAAACCCUUGGAUUCGAACAGGGUCCUUGGCUGACGGUACCUCAAAAGGAAGCACCGGCUAACUCCGUGCCAGCAGCCGCGGUAAUACGGAGGGUGCAAGCGUUAAUCGGAAUCACUGGGCGUAAAGCGCUCGUAGGCUGUUUGGUAAGUCAGACGUGAAAUCCCGCGGCUUAACCGCGGAACUGCGUUUGAUACUGCCAGACUUGAGUGUCGGAGAGGGUGGCGGAAUUCCGGGUGUAGGAGUGAAAUCCGUAGAUAUCCGGAGGAACACCAGUGGCGAAGGCGGCCACCUGGACGACAACUGACGCUGAGGAGCGAAAGCGUGGGGAGCAAACAGGAUUAGAUACCCUUGUAGUCGUC